UACGUAGGGUGCAAGCGUUGUCCGGAAUUAUUGGGCGUAAAGAGCUCGUAGGCGGCUUGUCGCGUCGGCUGUGAAAACCUGGGGCUCAACCCCGGGCCUGCAGCCGAUACGGGCAAGCUAGAAUUCGGUAGGGGAGACUGGAAUUCCUGGUGUAGCGGUGAAAUGCGCAGAUAUCAGGAGGAACACCGGUGGCGAAGGCGGGUUGCUGGGCUGAUACUGACGCUGAUGCGCGAAAGCCAGGGGAGCGAACGGG
rnacentral:rRNA from 1 species